rnacentral:rRNA from 1 species
AUUGAACGCUGGCGGCAUGCUUUACACAUGCAAGUCGAACGGCAGCACGGACUUCGGUCUGGUGGCGAGUGGCGAACGGGUGAGUAAUACAUCGGAACGUGCCCAGUUGUGGGGGAUAACUACUCGAAAGAGUAGCUAAUACCGCAUGAGAACUGAGGUUGAAAGCAGGGGAUCGUAAGACCUUGCGCAACUGGAGCGGCCGAUGGCAGAUUAGGUAGUUGGUGGGAUAAAAGCUUACCAAGCCGACGAUCUGUAGCUGGUCUGAGAGGACGACCAGGCACACAGGGACUGGGACACGGCCCAGACUCCUACGGGAGGCAGCAGUGGGGAAUUUUGGACAAUGGGCGAAAGCCUGAUCCAGCAAUGCCGCGUGCAGGAUGAAGGCCUUCGGGUUGUAAACUGCUGUUGUACGGAACGAAAAGCUUCGGGUUAAUACCCUGGAGUCAUGACGGUACCGUAAGAAUAAGCACCGGCUAACUACGUGCCAGCCGCCGCAGUAA